GUGGGAGGGGGCUUGCUCCCGAUAGCGGGGUGUCAGUCAGUACCGCUGAAACUGACACUCCGCUAUCGGGAGCAAGCCCCCUCCCAC
rnacentral:antisense_RNA from 2 species